rnacentral:tRNA from 1 species
CCCUGGGUGGCACAGUCAACGUGCUUGGCUGUUAACCAAAAGGUUGGUGGUUCAAAUCCACCCAGAGGUG